UACCCCAAACCGACACAGGUGGUCAGGUAGAGAAUACCCAGGCGCUUGAGAGAACUCGGGUGAAGGAACUAGGCAAAAUGGUGCCGUAACUUCGGGAGAAGGCACGCUGGCGUUGGUGAAGGGACUGGCUCCCGGAGCUGAUACCAGUCGCAGAUACCAGCUGGCUGCAACUGUUUAAUAAAAACACAGCACUGUGCAAACACGAAAGUGGACGUAUACGGUGUGACGCCUGCCCGGUGCCGGAAGGUUAAUUGAUGGGGUCAGCCGCAAGGCGAAGCUCUUGAUCGAAGCCCCGGUAAACGGCGGCCGUAACUAUAACGGUCCUAAGGUAGCGAAAUUCCUUGUCGGGUAAGUUCCGACCUGCACGAAUGGCGUAAUGAUGGCCAGGCUGUCUCCACCCGAGACUCAGUGAAAUUGAACUCGCUGUGAAGAUGCAGUGUACCCGCGGCAAGACGGAAAGACCCCGUGAACCUUUACUAUAGCUUGACACUGAACCUUGAGCCUUGAUGUGUAGGAUAGGUGGGAGGCUUUGAAGUGUGGACGCCAGUCUGCAUGGAGCCGACCUUGAAAUACCACCCUUUAAUGUUUGAUGUUCUAACGUGGGCCCCUGAACGGGGUUGCGGACAGUGUCUGGUGGGUAGUUUGACUGGGGCGGUCUCCUCCCAAAGAGUAACGGAGGAGCACGAAGGUUAGCUAAUCCUGGUCGGACAUCAGGAGGUUAGUGCAAAGGCAUAAGCUAGCUUGACUGCGAGAGUGACGGCUCGAGCAGGUGCGAAAGCAGGUCUUAGUGAUCCGGUGGUUCUGAAUGGAAGGGCCAUCGCUCAACGGAUAAAAGGUACUCCGGGGAUAACAGGCUGAUACCGCCCAAGAGUUCAUAUCGACGGCGGUGUUUGGCACCUCGAUGUCGGCUCAUCACAUCCUGGGGCUGAAGUAGGUCCCAAGGGUACGGCUGUUCGCCGUUUAAAGUGGUACGCGAGCUGGGUUUAGAACGUCGUGAGACAGUUCGGUCCCUAUCUGCCGUGGGCGUUGGAAGAUUGAGGGGGGUUGCUCCUAGUACGAGAGGACCGGAGUGAACGCACCACUGGUGUUCGGGUUGUGAUGCCAAUUGCAUUGCCCGGUAGCUAAGUGCGGAAGAGAUAACCGCUGAAAGCAUCUAAGCGGGAAACUUGCCCCGAGAUGAGUCUUCCCUGGGACUUCGAGUCCCCUGAAGGGCCGUUGAAGACGACGACGUAGAUAGGCUGGGUGUGUAAGCGUAGCGAUACGUUGAGCUAACCAGUACUAAUGACCCGAGAGGCUUAACCUUACAACACCGAAGGUGUUUUAG
rnacentral:rRNA from 1 species